GGAGCUUGCUCCCGGAUGUUAGCGGCGGACGGGUGAGUAACACGUGGGUAACCUGCCUGUAAGACUGGGAUAACUCCGGGAAACCGGAGCUAAUACCGGAUAGUUCCUUGAACCGCAUGGUUCAAGGAUGAAAGACGGUUUCGGCUGUCACUUACAGAUGGACCCGCGGCGCAUUAGCUAGUUGGUGAGGUAACGGCUCACCAAGGCGACGAUGCGUAGCCGACCUGAGAGGGUGAUCGGCCACACUGGGACUGAGACACGGCCCAGACUCCUACGGGAGGCAGCAGUAGGGAAUCUUCCGCAAUGGACGAAAGUCUGACGGAGCAACGCCGCGUGAGUGAUGAAGGUUUUCGGAUCGUAAAGCUCUGUUGUUAGGGAAGAACAAGUGCAAGAGUAACUGCUUGCACCUUGACGGUACCUAACCAGAAAGCCACGGCUAACUACGUGCCAGCAGCCGCGGUAAUACGUAGGUGGCAAGCGUUGUCCGGAAUUAUUGGGCGUAAAGGGCUCGCAGGCGGUUUCUUAAGUCUGAUGUGAAAGCCCCCGGCUCAACCGGGGA
rnacentral:rRNA from 1 species